CAGCUACUCAGGGCAGAGGUUAGACAAGUGAGGGGGCGGGGCUCAAACACAAGGCAGUUUCUCCCUUCAGGUAUUUGCUAAACUCUGAAGCUGUGUAGGCUGAUGGCCAAAUUGCUAAACCACAAAAUCUGAAAAGCAGCAGGGAAUGCCCUGCCUCCUCCCCGUGUUUGGAUGCUCACAAGACAAGGACCCAAGAGAAGAAGAGAUACUGGACACGCAGUGUCCAGGCAGUAUUUGAUGAGAACAAAGUGACAAGCAAAGACUAAAGUGAAAAGCAUACAUAAAAAAGUAAGCCUCAUGCAAUGGGCCUAUGGCACCUGGCUUGGUGCGGCUGCACCUUCAUUUCAGCAACACCAGUAUGUGCAAACUAACAUCUAGCUCUGACCUGCUCAUUGGAAAGGAAAUCCAUGGACAAUGAGCAGAAGAUCUUCUAGGAUAUAAUUAGACGGCCUGCAUUCCUAUCUCGACCCUAUUAUCAGUUUUGUGACCAUGAGCAUGUUAAUUAACCUCUCUGGGCUUCACUUCCCUUGUCUGUAAAUCAGUAUAUUAAUAGUAACUGGCUUAGAAGACUGUUUUAAGCAUCAAUAAAGACUUAGCACAUA